rnacentral:rRNA from 1 species
AUAUCAAUAAGCGGAGGAAAAGAAACCAACCGGGAUUGCCUUAGUAACGGCGAGUGAAGCGGCAAAAGCUCAAAUUUGAAAUCUGGCUCUAUUUUGGGGUCCGAAUUGUAAUUUGAAGAAGCGACUUUGGACCUGGCUCUUGUCUAUGUUCCUUGGAACAGGACGUCACAGAGGGUGAGAAUCCCGUGCGAUGAGAAGCCCAGGUUCGUGUAAAGCGUUUUCGACGAGUCGAGUUGUUUGGGAAUGCAGCUCUAAGUGGGUGGUAAAUUCCAUCUAAAGCUAAAUAUUGGCGAGAGACCGAUAGCGAACAAGUACAGUGAUGGAAAGAUGAAAAGAACUUUGAAAAGAGAGUGAAAAAGUACGUGAAAUUGUUGAAAGGGAAGGGCUUGAGAUCAGACUUUGUUUUUCCAUGGCGCUCUUUCGGGGGUGUCCUCUGGGUCUACAGGGCCAGCAUGGGUUUUGCGGGCGAGACAAGGACUCAGGAAUGUGGCUCUGCUUCGGUGGAGUGUUAUAGCCUGGGGUACUGGUCGCCAUGCGGGACCGAGGACUGCGG